UGCGUAGGCGGAAUAUUAAGUCAGUGGUGAAAUCCUGCGGCUCAACCGUAGAACUGCCAUUGAUACUGAUAUUCUUGAAUGUAGUUGAGGUAGGCGGAAUGUGUAAUGCAGCGGUGAAAUGCUUAGAUAUUACACAGAACACCGAUUGCGAAGGCAGCUUACUAAACUAUGAUUGACGCUGAGGCACGAAAGCGUGGGGAGCGAACAGGAUUAGAUACCCUGGUAGUCC
rnacentral:rRNA from 1 species